UAUGGGUCCUCGAAAAUGUUCUGCUCAGUUUUCCUGAUAAUUUAUGUUCCAGACUUAUGAUGGAAUGAUUAUUGGAGAACAUUCUAGGGAAUCAGAUCUAGAUGUUAAUCUUGUAAGAACUAAAGAAAACUUACCAAUAUCCGUUCUGCUUGCAAAGAUGAAAACAUGAAGCUAUCUCCACCUCGACUUAGAUGAGUCUUGAAGAAGCGAUAGGAUACGUUGCAUCUGAUGAACUUAUUAAGGGAGAUGGAUCUCUUGCUAGUUCCUUAUUCCUCAGAUCCCAGCCUAAAAAUAAUCCAAAGGCCUCCCUUUUUACUAGCCAGCAAGAUUCCAAUAGCAUUGGAUAUGGCUGUUGAAUUUCGAUCCAGAGAUUCUGACCUAUGGAAGCACAUUUAUGCAGAUGAGUACAUGAAAUGUGAAGUGAUAGAGUGUUGUGAAUCUUUAAAAAAUGUCCUGAAUGUUCUGGCAGUUGGAGAAAAUGAGAAAAGGUUUCAAGCUAACAUUCCUACUUAUUGAACCAAACAUCAUCAAAUAAUCAUAGUUCUUUCGUUUUUGUCAGUUGCAGUUUUUUUUUUUUUUUUUUGUCGACUUUGACACUUGAACAAGUUUUUUGUUUUUAUGAGGAUAUAUUAAGAAUCUUGCUUUUAAGGCUUCCUCUUUUCUCUCUCGCUUUAUUUAAAUGAUAGUAAAUUGUUCAAAUUAGUUUAUUACAACAAUGAUUUGUAUGUAGUUUCAUUUAUAAUGUCAAUAUAUCAAAAUUCUUGAUUAAUGUCAA